rnacentral:lncRNA from 1 species
GUUACGUUUCCACUGCUGUAACUGCUCCUUCGCCAUUAACCAAGGAGCACUAUCAUUGCCAUCAUGCCCUUCACUAUCACUUCUAGACUCCUGAUUAGUAAAAUCAUCGUCUUCCAACAACGAUGAAUAUUUAUUAUCCAGGGGCUUACACAAGCCAAAGUCAGAAAGCUUUAAAUGGCCAUUUUUGUCCAAUAUUAGGUUGUCUGGUUUGAUGUCCCUACAAUAAGCACCAAUUUGAUAGCACUAAGGUUGUAGAAAUAUAUAUAAGAACAACAUGCACAUAUAAAUAAGCAAAAGUUGGUGCAUUAAAAGUAUGGCUAAUGCUUGAAAUAACAGGUUCGAUGACAACAUUUCUGUAGGAAAAGGCCUAUCUAUCUAGUUCCAUUUGAUUGACUUUUGACUCUGCUAUCAAACAGGGAAAGAAGAACGAGCAAAUCAUACAAAUACUUAGGAUAAAAUGAUGAAUUACAUUGAUACCUAUGGACAUAACCGUGCUGGUGAAUCGAAUGAAUCGCUAGAAUGCUUUCUGCAAUGUAGAACCGUGCAACAUCUUCGGAAAGGGUAUCCUCUCUCAUAAGUAAAGUCAUAAUAUCACCACCAGGCAAGUAUUCCAUAAUAAGGUAUAAAAAAUCAGAAUCUUGGAAAGAAUAAAAAAGCUUCACUAUGCAACGACUAUCCACCUCCACAAGCAAAUUCCUCUCAGAUCGGACAUUAUUGAAGUGAUUAAGAAAUCCCUCACAGACAAGAUUUAAAUGAUUUUCACAAUUACAAGUAAUCUUUGAGAGAUUUCUUUAACCAUUCCUUGAAAUUCAAGUACAAAAGCUAACGAUAUUAACAUACUUCCGCAAACUUUUCAAAAUUCUGUGUGUCUAACUCUCCAGUUACUGUAGGUUUGUAGGCAGGUUCCAUUUCAUAAAGGGUAUCCCAGUUAACGCCUGUAAACCACGGAUGUGCCUGGAAUUGAAAACAAGGUAAUGCUAAUCACAAAGAAAACUAGUCUUUUUGUAGAAAUUCCUCUUGUACAAUCACUAAUACUAUAAAUAUAAAGUUUAUCCAAGUUCCUGAAAAUAAUAUUUUUUCUACCUUUGUCUGUGUAUGGACAUAUAUGUCAUUCAUUUUACCUUUAUUUCGUCCACUCCUCUGGUCCCCAACCUUCUUUCAACAUCACAUAACAAAUGACAGAUCAGAUCCUUGGCCUCAACUGAGAUUUUUGGUUCUUCAGGGAAUUUCAAGCAUGUUUUCCAAUUGAUAAUCUGAUACAAGAAAGAAGCAUGAUAUAUCUUGCAAAAAACGAGGGAUAUUUUUGAAAUAGUAAAAAUAAUGAUUAGCGCAAGUGUGAAAAGAUUAUAUUUAACAUUGCUACAUCAACUAUGUGUAAAUGGGUACGAAUUAUGAUUAAAAAUACUGAAAUUAUUGACGAUUCCCAUGGAGAUCUCAUUUGAGAAGAACCAGCAAAAAAAUUUCAUUCUGCAAAACUUUUCAUACUUUGCAAAUUCUUGCAUCGUCAAGAAGUUUGAACAAUCACAAACUGACAAGUAUUACAAUACCUUGCGGCAUGUCAUUCUAGGAUCGUCAGAGCAAAAGGGAGGAUAGCCUAUGAGCAUUUCAUACAUGAUUGCCCCCAGUGACCACCAGUCACACUCCAUUCCAUAUCCUUUCUUCAAUAAAACUUCAGGUGCCAUAUAAUCAAGAGUUCCAACAGUCGAAUAUGCCUGCAAAAGUUACCAUUCAGCUAAUGCUUUUUCCCCAAUCUUCUUUAAGUAUAUCAGUAUAAAAUAAAUGCAUAAAUUACAUUUGUGGUCACUAAAUUUGUACUAAAAUUUCAUGCUAAGCUUUUGUUUCUAGUGAACUUAAACUUUGUUUCAAGUUGUACGCUUCGUCCAUUUCUAAUAGUCCAACAGAUAUGCUGACGUGACACUCUAGUUUUUCCCAAGUAGCUGCCAACUAGAUUUUCAUGUUAGCUUUUCUAUUAGUCAAACCGGACGAUAUGGAUGGAAUGACCUCAUUGUGAAAAGAGCUGAAGUUUACUUGAAACAAAAUUUAAGUUCAGUAAUCAAUUUGAAACAAAAUAUAACGACCAAAGUGAAAUUUCACGAAAAGUUCAGAGUCCACUUUCAUUUUUAACCCGCUUACAAUAGUGAAAGCGAAAAUUGUCGGACCAACAUACUAUUCCAACUAAGCAACAAAAUGAGUAUAAAAGAAUACCAAGGCACGACGGUUACGUUUCCACUGCUGUAACUGCUCCUUCGCCAUUAACCAAGGAGCACUAUCAUUGCCAUCAUGCCCUUCACUAUCACUUCUAGACUCCUGAUUAGUAAAAUCAUCGUCUUCCAACAACGAUGAAUAUUUAUUAUCCAGGGGCUUACACAAGCCAAAGUCAGAAAGCUUUAAAUGGCCAUUUUUGUCCAAUAUUAGGUUGUCUGGUUUGAUGUCCCUACAAUAAGCACCAAUUUGAUAGCACUAAGGUUGUAGAAAUAUAUAUAAGAACAACAUGCACAUAUAAAUAAGCAAAAGUUGGUGCAUUAAAAGUAUGGCUAAUGCUUGAAAUAACAGGUUCGAUGACAACAUUUCUGUAGGAAAAGGCCUAUCUAUCUAGUUCCAUUUGAUUGACUUUUGACUCUGCUAUCAAACAGGGAAAGAAGAACGAGAAAAUCAUACAAAUACUUAGGAUAAAAUGAUGAAUUACAUUGAUACCUAUGGACAUAACCGUGCUGGUGAAUCGAAUGAAUCGCUAGAAUGCUUUCUGCAAUGUAGAACCGUGCAACAUCUUCGGAAAGGGUAUCCUCUCUCAUAAGUAAAGUCAUAAUAUCACCACCAGGCAAGUAUUCCAUAAUAAG